rnacentral:rRNA from 1 species
GACGAAGGGGGCUAGCGUUGUUCGGAAUUACUGGGCGUAAAGCGCGUGUAGGCGGUUGUCCAAGUUGGAUGUGAAAGCCUUGAGCUCAACUCAAGAAAUGCAUUCAGGACUGGAUGACUAGAGGACCGGAGAGGAUAGUGGAAUUCCCAGUGUAGUGGUGAAAUACGUAGAGAUUGGGAAGAACACCAGUGGCGAAGGCGGCUCACUGGCUCAUAUCUGACGCUCAGGCGCGACAGCGUGGGGAUCAAACAGG